rnacentral:piRNA from 1 species
UCUGGGAACAGAACAUCCCAGUGG